GUGCUAUACAUGCAGUCGAACGAGUUCUCGUUGAUGAUCGGUGCUUGCACCGAGAUUCAACAUGGAACGAGUGGCGGACGGGUGAGUAACACGUGGGUAACCUGCCCUUAAGUGGGGGAUAACAUUUGGAAACAGAUGCUAAUACCGCAUAGAUCCAAGAACCGCAUGGUUCUUGGCUGAAAGAUGGCGUAAGCUAUCGCUUUUGGAUGGACCCGCGGCGUAUUAGCUAGUUGGUGAGGUAAUGGCUCACCAAGGCGAUGAUACGUAGCCGAACUGAGAGGUUGAUCGGCCACAUUGGGACUGAGACACGGCCCAAACUCCUACGGGAGGCAGCAGUAGGGAAUCUUCCACAAUGGACGCAAGUCUGAUGGAGCAACGCCGCGUGAGUGAAGAAGGCUUUCGGGUCGUAAAACUCUGUUGUUGGAGAAGAAUGGUCGGCAGAGUAACUGUUGUCGGCGUGACGGUAUCCAACCAGAAAGCCACGGCUAACUACGUGCCAGCAGCCGCGGUAAUACGUAGGUGGCAAGCGUUAUCCGGAUUUAUUGGGCGUAAAGCGAGCGCAGGCGGUUUUUUAAGUCUGAUGUGAAAGCCCUCGGCUUAACCGAGGAAGCGCAUCGGAAACUGGGAAACUUGAGUGCAGAAGAGGACAGUGGAACUCCAUGUGUAGCGGUGAAAUGCGUAGAUAUAUGGAAGAACACCAGUGGCGAAGGCGGCUGUCUGGUCUGUAACUGACGCUGAGGCUCGAAAGCAUGGGUAGCGAACAGGAUUAGAUACCCUGGUAGUCCAUGCCGUAAACGAUGAAUGCUAGGUGUUGGAGGGUUUCCGCCCUUCAGUGCCGCAGCUAACGCAUUAAGCAUUCCGCCUGGGGAGUACGACCGCAAGGUUGAAACUCAAAGGAAUUGACGGGGGCCCGCACAAGCGGUGGAGCAUGUGGUUUAAUUCGAAGCAACGCGAAGAACCUUACCAGGUCUUGACAUCUUUUGAUCACCUGAGAGAUCAGGUUUCCCCUUCGGGGGCAAAAUGACAGGUGGUGCAUGGUUGUCGUCAGCUCGUGUCGUGAGAUGUUGGGUUAAGUCCCGCAACGAGCGCAACCCUUAUGACUAGUUGCCAGCAUUUAGUUGGGCACUCUAGUAAGACUGCCGGUGACAAACCGGAGGAAGGUGGGGAUGACGUCAAAUCAUCAUGCCCCUUAUGACCUGGGCUACACACGUGCUACAAUGGAUGGUACAACGAGUUGCGAGACCGCGAGGUCAAGCUAAUCUCUUAAAGCCAUUCUCAGUUCGGACUGUAGGCUGCAACUCGCCUACACGAAGUCGGAAUCGCUAGUAAUCGCGGAUCAGCACGCCGCGGUGAAUACGUUCCCGGGCCUUGUACACACCGCCCGUCACACCAUGAGAGUUUGUAACACCCGAAGCCGGUGGCGUAACCCUUUUAGGGAGCGAGCCGUCUAAGG
rnacentral:rRNA from 2 species